AUUCCAGCUCCAAUAGCGUAUAUUAAAGUUGUUGCGGUUAAAAAGCUCGUAGUUGGAUUUCUGCCGAGGACGACCGGUCCGCCCUCUGGGUGAGUAUCUGGCUCGGCCUGGGCAUCUUCUUGGAGAACGUAACUGCACUUGACUGUGUGGUGCGGUAUCCAGGACUUUUACUUUGAGGAAAUUAGAGUGUUUCAAGCAGGCACACGCCUUGAAUACAUUAGCAUGGAAUAAUAAUCUAGGACUUCGGUUCUAUUUUGUUGGUUUCUAGAUCUGAAGUAAUGAUUGAUAGGGAUAGUUGGGGGUGCUAGUAUUAAGGGGCCAGAGGUGAAAUUCUUGGAUUCUCUUAAGACUAACUUAUGCGAAAGCAUUCACCAAGGAUGUCUUCAUCG
rnacentral:rRNA from 1 species